rnacentral:lncRNA from 1 species
AGUUUUCAAGGCUUUUCCAGAUUUACCUGGAUAAAACUACCCCACAUGCAGUUUAUAGAUGGAUUGGAACUGCAGCUUUAGUGUUUCUUUAUGCACUGAGAGUUUAUUAUAUUCAAGGGUUCUACAUUGUUAGCUAUGGUCUUGGAAUCUACAUACUGAACUUGUUGAUUGGGUUUCUAUCACCACUUGUUGACCCUGAACUGGAACCUUCUGAUGGUCCUCUGCUACCUACAAAAGGCUCAGAUGAAUUCAAGCCUUUCAUCCGACGGCUACCUGAGUUCAAGUUCUGG